GAUUAUACUAUGUUGAAGCACUGGUUCCCAUAUGAUCAUUGAAGUUAAGCAACAUUGAACCUGAUCAGCACUUUGAUGGGUGACCGCUAGGGAAUACUAGGUGCUGUAAG